rnacentral:rRNA from 1 species
UGCAUGUCUAGUACAUGCCGUGUAAAGGCGAAACCGCGAAUGGCUCAUUAAAUCAGUUAUGGUUUCCUAGAUCGUAAGUUAUUACUUGGAUAACUGUGGUAAUUCUAGAGCUAAUACAUGCUGCACUACUCCGACCGCAAGGGACGAGCGCUUUUAUUAGACCAAGACCAAACGAGCUUUGCUCGUAAACGUGAUGACUCUGUAUAACUUAGAGCUGAUCGCAGGGGCUUGACCCGGCGACGUAUCUUUCAAGUGUCUGCCUUAUCAACUGUCGAUGGUAGGUUAUGCGCCUACCAUGGUUGCAACGGGUGACGGGGAAUCAGGGUUCGAUUCCGGAGAGGGAGCCUGCGAAACGGCUACCACAUCCAAGGAAGGCAGCAGGCGCGCAAAUUACCCACUCCCGGCACGGGGAGGUAGUGAUGAAAAAUAACGAUACGAAUCUCUUUUGAGACCUCGUAAUCGGAAUGAGUACAUUUUAAAACGUUUAGCGAGUAUCUAUUGGAGGGCAAGUCUGGUGCCAGCAUCCGCGGUAAUUCCAGCUCCAAUAGCGUAUAUUAAAGUUGUUGCGGUUAAAACGCUCGUAGUUGGAUCUCAGUCCGCGGCUAACGGUUCGCCUCACGGCGGUUACUGCUUGUCCUGGACAAUUUGCUGGUUUCCUGUGAUGAUCUUCACCGAUUGUCUCAGGUGACUGGCGCCUUUACUUUGAAAAAAUUAGGGUGCUCAAAGCAGGCAUGAUGCCUGAACAAUGGUGCAUGGAAUAAUGGAACAGGACCUCGGUCUUAUUUUGUUGGUUUUUGGGACACGAGGUAAUGAUUAAGAGGAGCAGACGGGGGCAUUCGUAUUGCGACGAUAGAGGUGAAAUUCUUGGACCGCCGCAAGACGAACUACAGCGAAGGCAUUUGCCAAGAAUGUUUCCGUUAAUCCAGAACGAAAGCCAGAGUAUCGAAGGUGAUUAGAUACCGCCCUAGUUCUGACCAUAAACGAUGUCAGCCAGCGAUCAGGAUGUGUUCGUCAAAUAACACUUCUGGCAGCUUCCGGGAAACCAAAGCUUUUGGACUCCGGGGGAAGUAUGGUUGCAAAGCUGAAACUUAAAGGAAUUGACGGAAGGGCACCACAAGGAUUGGAGCCUGCGGCUUAAUUUGACUCAACACGGGAAAACUUACCUGGCCCGGACACAGGUAGGAUUGACAGAUUAAUAGUUCUUUCUCGAUUCUGUGGGUGGUGGUGCAUGGCCGUUCUUAGUUCGUGGAUUGAUUUGUCUGGUUAAUUCCGAUAACGAACGAGACUCUAGCCUACUAAAUAGACACUCUGAUCGGUCACGUCGGACAGUUCUUCUUAGAGGGACAAGCUGCGUUUAGCCGCACGAAACUGAGCAAUAACAGGUCUGUGAUGCCCUUAGAUGUCCAGGGCCGCACGCGCGCUACAAUGAAGGAAUCAACGCGUGCUACCCUUGUCUGACAAGAUUAGGUAACCGGUUGAACCUCCUUCGUGACUGGGAUAGGGGCUUGCAACUGUUCCCCUUGAACGAGGAAUUCCUAGUAAGCGCGAGUCAUCAGCUCGUGUUGAUUACGUCCCUGCCCUUUGUACACACCGCCCGUCGCUACUACCGAUUGAAUGAUUUAGUGAGGUCUUCGGACUGACUCUCGGAACGGCCACCCGGGUCGCGCCGACGUGCCGGAAAGAUGACCAAACUUGAUCAUUUAGAGGAAGUAAA